rnacentral:sRNA from 1 species
GUCUUCUGUUAAGCAGUAAGUAUUCUUCCUUAUAAAAUUUUCAUAGUUGUUAUAAAUCCUGUUUAUUUUUGGAGCUAUCUGAUAACUAAAUAAUCUUCCUUAUUUCUUCUUUUAAUGAAAUGUUUGAUUUGUUUCUCAAUCAAUGAAGAUCCAGCUCCAGGUCCCACAGGGGCUCUUCUUCCCCACGAAAAAGAUCUUAUUCAAGUUCAUCAUCUUCUCCUGAGAGGAACAGAAAGAGAAGUCGUUCUAGAUCUUCUUCAUCUGGUGAUCGCAAAAAAAGACGAACAAGAUCACGGUCACCCGAAAGCCAGGUGAUUGGUGAAAACACUAAACAACCCUGAGCCCAGGGCCAACCCCUACGGAACACCACUACUUUACCCAGACGCCACAGGUCAUCUUCUGGAUCAUCCCAUUCUGGUUCCCGUUCAAGUUCAAAAAAGAAAUAAUGUAUUAAAAUUUACAUCUU